rnacentral:ncRNA from 1 species
CUAAGUCGAACAUAACGACAGUUAAACAAAUGUACGUUCUGACCGCACACUGUAAUGCGGAGAUACAAAUAACAGAUAUAAAAGAAUGUGAAGGAGAGUUGCA